UACGAAGGGUGCAAGCGUUAAUCGGAAUUACUGGGCGUAAAGCGUGCGUAGGCGGUUGGAUAAGCCCUCCGUGAAAUCUCCAGGCUUAACCUGGAAAGUGCAGAGGGGACUGUUCAGCUAGAGGAUGGGAGAGGAGCGCGGAAUUCCCGGUGUAGCGGUGAAAUGCGUAGAUAUUGGGAAGAACACCGGUGGCGAAGGCGGCGACCUGGUCCGAUACUGACGCUGAGGCGCGAAAGCGUGGGGAGCAAACAGG
rnacentral:rRNA from 1 species